CUUAACACAUGACAAGUACGACGAAGCAGCAGCGAAGGAGGCUUCGGCCAAUGGAACUGUUGACUUAGUGGCGGACGGGUGAGUAACGCGUGAGCAACCUGCCUUUCAGAGGGGGAUAACGUUUGGAAACGAACGCUAAUACCGCAUGAUAUAACGGUAUCGCAUGGUAUUGUUAUCAAAGGAGCAAUCCGCUGAAAGAUGGGCUCGCGUCCGAUUAGAUAGUUGGUGGGGUAACGGCCUACCAAGUCGACGAUCGGUAGCCGGACUGAGAGGUUGAACGGCCACAUUGGGACUGAGACACGGCCCAGACUCCUACGGGAGGCAGCAGUGGGGAAUAUUGCACAAUGGGCGCAAGCCUGAAUGCAGCAACGCCGCGUGAGGGAAGACGGUUUUCGGAUUGUAAACCUCUGUCCUUGGUGAAGAUAAUGACGGUAGCCGAGGAGGAAGCCACGGCUAACUACGUGCCAGCCGCUGC
rnacentral:rRNA from 1 species